ACAGAGGGGAGCACUAGCAGAGAAAAACAACCUGACGGUGACGAACUUUGACUGAAAAGAAUUCCAGUCUUCUAGUUCACCCCCAGUUACCGGGUCGCCAAGAACAGGAAGAAUGGCACAAGCCUGAGAAGCAAAUGGAAGCCUUGGAAAGCAGAAUGUUUUCUGAAGAAAACGGCUUCUCUACAGUUUCUGCUUUCAGCUUAGCUCUAAGGCACUAGCAGAUCUUUUGGAAUCUUCUUGCAGCAGUUGCCAAAAACACUGGCAUUGACGGGUUCAUACUCCUUUCGAAGAAGGACGCUGCAGAGCUGUCAAAGUAGAAUCUGGUAAAAGCAACUUGAUGGGUUCAAUGGGAUUAUGCAGUCAAAUGUGCACUGCCCAUAUGGACAGGAUGGAAUAUUAGCAUACAAUCUUGCUACUUUCUCUUUGCUUGCUAUUUGGAUUGUCUCGUAACUACUGGAGUCCUUGCAGAUGUUUGUAGGAAGAAUUUACCUGGAAUACAAUGUCAUGCUGACAAUAAGGGCCAGAGAACGAAAUUGGGCCCACAAGGAAUACAGAAUCUGAUGGGACAACAAUCGUUGAUGCCUCAACUUUACAAGCGGCUGCCCAUGCUGCUUGGAACGCCUGUAACAUAAAAUAUUAUUCCACAAGAAACUCAUCAGUGUUUGUUGUUUUCAAUUUGUUAAUAGCCUCCACGAUUCAGGUUAGAAUUAACUGUAAAAAUUCUUCCUUCUCUAUAGCUCCUCGUCUGUCUUUCUUUUUCUAAUUUUUAUACAAAAGAAUUUAGGCGAGAUUAUAUGGGCAUACAUGAAUUUUUUAAGUUAAUUAGUUGUUGGUUUAGUGGAGAAGC